CUCUUCAGGGCAGCUGUAGCAGCAUAGCAAGACUCAGAUGUGAGUGCCAGGGUCUGUUUAAAGCUUCCUCACCAGCUGUGAACUCUUUGAGAGAAGAAUCAGUAGAGCUACAUUUUCUUGGCACUCCAAAAUGUGGAUUUCAAAACUGUUAGUUCAGAAGUGUUCAACUUUUGCUGCCCACUGGAAUUAUCUGGAGAGCUGCAAAAGGACACUGAUGCCUGGGCUGCACCUCCUAGAGGUCUUGAUUUGAUCAAUCCAAAGGAAGGCCUGGGCAGUAAAUUUUUAAAAGUUCCACAGCAUUUCUGAUGGCCUCACGGAUCAGGAGUCUGCAAGACCACCCUCAGGCUUCAUGCACUAAAAGGACUCACAGGACUCAGAAAAAGCUGUCAUACUCAUGUUUGUGGUUUAUUAGAGUGAAAGACUACAGAUUAGAGUCAGCAAAAGGAAAAGGUGGGUAGGGCAGAGUCUAGGAGAAACAGGACACAAGCUUCCAGUUGGCUUCUCCCAAAGGUGUUGCAUGAACAGCACUUAAUUAUCUUAGCAACAAUGUAACACACAUGUAAAUUUUUGCAUCCUAUGAAUCUCAUCUGAGCCUUGGUGUCCAAGGAUUUUUAUUGGGGUUAGUGACAAAGGCAUGCAGCGGCUAUGGGACAACAUUAACUACUCAGUCUCCAGCCCCCAGAGGUCAGUGUGGUUCAACAACUGAUGCAGUGCGGUUCAACAACUUAGACGACAAAAACACUCCUGGCAGGCAGGAGAUUUCAAGAGAGCUCAGAGGUCACCUCCUGGAUGUCAGCCAAGGACCAGUCCUUUUUUUUUUGAAUGUGCAGGGUUUGAGUAACCCAAGACUGCUGUGUUAACCUUUUUCUGGACACCUAUAUACAUAUAUUUGUCUGUUCUUUGGAUUCUCCAUUGAACUGGGUAUUGCUGUUACUGUUUUUGCCUUCCUAGUUCCUCAUUAAUGGGCUAAAAUAAAUCUUUGACACGUUUAUGUUUGCAUAUGAGUCAUGAUUUUACUUUGUUUUUGUUUGUUUGUUUGUUUGU
rnacentral:lncRNA from 10 species